rnacentral:rRNA from 1 species
AACGAAGGCUGGCGGCAUGCCUAACACAUGCAAGUCGAACGAGACCUUCGGGUCUAGUGGCGCACGGGUGCGUAACGCGUGGGAACCUGCCCUUAGGUUCGGAAUAACUCCCCGAAAGGGGUGCUAAUACCGGAUAAUGUCUUCGGACCAAAGAUUUAUCGCCUUUGGAUGGGCCCGCGUUGGAUUAGCUAGUUGGUAGGGUAAAAGCCUACCAAGGCGACGAUCCAUAGCUGGCCUGAGAGGAUGAUCAGCCACACUGGGACUGAGACACGGCCCAGACUCCUACGGGAGGCAGCAGUGGGGAAUAUUGGACAAUGGGCGAAAGCCUGAUCCAGCAAUGCCGCGUGAGUGAUGAAGGCCUUAGGGUUGUAAAGCUCUUUUACCCGGGAUGAUAAUGACAGUACCGGGAGAAUAAGCUCCGGCUAACUCCGUG